AAGUCGACCGCCUGGGGAGUACGGCCGCAAGGUUAAAACUCAAAUGAAUUGACGGGGGCCCGCACAAGCGGUGGAGCAUGUGGUUUAAUUCGAUGCAACGCGAAGAACCUUACCUGGUCUUGACAUCCACGGAAGUUUUCAGAGAUGAGAAUGUGCCUUCGGGAACCGUGAGACAGGUGCUGCAUGGCUGUCGUCAGCUCGUGUUGUGAAAUGUUGGGUUAAGUCCCGCAACGAGCGCAACCCUUAUCCUUUGUUGCCAGCGGUCCGGCCGGGAACUCAAAGGAGACUGCCAGUGAUAAACUGGAGGAAGGUGGGGAUGACGUCAAGUCAUCAUGGCCCUUACGACCAGGGCUACACACGUGCUACAAUGGCGCAUACAAAGAGAAGCGACCUCGCGAGAGCAAGCGGACCUCAUAAAGUGCGUCGUAGUCCGGAUUGGAGUCUGCAACUCGACUCCAUGAAGUCGGAAUCGCUAGUAAUCGUGGAUCAGAAUGCCACGGUGAAUACGUUCCCGGGCCUUGUACACACCGCCCGUCACACCAUGGGAGUGGGUUGCAAAAGAAGUAGGUAGCUUAACCUUCGGGAGGGCGCUUACCACUUUGUGAUUCAUGACUGGGGUGAAGUCGUAACAAGGUAACCGUAGGGGAACCUGCGGUUGGAUC
rnacentral:rRNA from 1 species